AACGAACGCUGGCGGCAUGCCUAACACGUGCAAGUCGAACGAGACCUUCGGGUCUAGUGGCGCACGGGUGCGUAACGCGUGGGAACCUGCCCUUAGGUUCGGAAUAACUCCCCGAAAGGGGUGCUAAUACCGGAUAAUGUCCUCGGACAAAAGAUUUAUCGCCUUUGGAUGGGCCCGCGUUGGAUUAGCUUGUUGGUAGGGUAAAAGCCUACCAAGGCGACGAUCCAUAGCUGGUCUGAGAGGAUGAGCAGCCACACUGGGACUGAGACACGGCCCAGACUCCUACGGGAGGCGGCAGUGGGGAAUAUUGGACAAUGGGCGAAAGCCUGAUCCAGCAAGGCCGCGUGAGUGAUGAAGGCCUUAGAGUUGUAAAGCUCUUUUACCCGGGAUGAUAAUGACAGUACCGGGAGAAUAAGCACCGGCUAACUCCGUG
rnacentral:rRNA from 1 species